rnacentral:tRNA from 1 species
GAGGUUAUAGCUCAAGUGGUAGAGCACGUGCUUAGCAUGCAUGAGGUCCUGGGUUCAAUCCCCAGCACCUCC